rnacentral:rRNA from 1 species
UACAGAGGUCUCAAGCGUUGUUCGGAUUCAUUGGGCGUAAAGGGUGUGUAGGUGGCGCCGUAAGUCGGGUGUGAAAUCUCGGGGCUUAACUCCGAAACUGCAUUCGAUACUGCGGUGCUUGAGGACUGGAGAGGAGACUGGAAUUCAUGGUGUAGCAGUGAAAUGCGUAGAGAUCAUGAGGAAGACCAGUGGCGAAGGCGGGUCUCUGGACAUUUCCUGACGCUGAGGCACGAAAGCCAGGGGAGCAAACGGG